GGCAGAGAAUCUGUCGCCGUUCUUAAUCCGUAUAUAAACAGAGAGCCCAAUUCUGAAGAGAAACAGAACGAACUUCCCAGAAUUAUGCUCCCUUCCAAUCUUCUCCUCCGGCUGUGAAUUUGUUCUUGCUUCCAUCAAUCCCAUGCUCGUGCUCUGAACCUGGUUCUAUCUUUCUCUCUGUCUCUACUGGAUGAUAUUGCUUUUUUAGUAUUGUUUUCAAUUAUUGGAAACUUUAUCUGAGCAAAGUUUUUGAUUGAUUGUCGUUAGUUCUCACCAAGAUUGUAGGUUGAUUUUAUGUUAAUCGAAAGUGAAUUUUGAAGGUUAGUGGAUGAUCUUUAGGCGUUAGGCAUUUGGAUUUCGAGGAAACGAAUUUGAAGAAAACGAAGACGGACAACAAUGAGUGUUGAAACCGAAGUGGUGCCUUGGGAUGGAUUUUGGUACCUCUAGGGCAUGAUUUGCUCUGAUUGACAUGGAAGGGACGUCUGUGCGGAAGGAAAGAGGGAGUGGCUACUCUAUAAGGGAAAAUUUUGUUGUGACAAUGCUUGAACGGGUUGACGCUGUUGGUUUGUAACAACUGUGUACGAUCAUGCAGUGUAGAUUCAUUCAUAGCAACAUGAACACAGUACAUGGGCAAGGCUGUCUAGGAAAAACGAUGAAACAAUGGAUUGGGGAAGAUCGUGGAAAACAACACUUUUUUCACUGCUUGAAGAUGUUCAAAAUCAUUGUCAGUCAUUUGGUGGCAUCCAUUUCAAUGCAACUACCAUAAUUGUUGGCAAGUCUUCAUGCUUAAUAAAUUGCUGCCCUUCAUUAGACUUGGUGUUCCUUCCAUCUAAAGUAUAGCAGCAUACACUUGCGCAGCAAUACAGGACAGCCAUUGUCAAAUGUUGAAGAUUGUUGGGAGAGGAGUCCCACUUCGGUUAAUUAAGGAGUUGAUCAUGAAUUUAUAAUGCUGACUCGAACAAAGAAUCUGCCGCAUUAUUACAUCAAGCUGAUGGGUUGCUGUGGUUUCUACAUGGAAAGCUUGGGGUUUCAGAUUAUAAUAAUAAUGUGAAGGUUGGCUAUGAUCCUGAAGUUGAUUCUUAGCCUUUACCUCCCUGGCUUCUUGCUCAACCAGAUUCUCAAUCACAAUUUGGUAAUGUUUCCUAUUUUGGCCUUUCAAUUAUCUUGAACCUUACUUUUCAAGAUGCUAUUUUAAUCUUUUUAACUUAAAAUUUAUGAAGUUAUAUCCAUUGUUAUUAAACAUAAAUUGUGGACCUACCCUAAAUUCAUGAAUGACAUUAAAAUGUGACAUCUAAUUCAACUUUGGGCGUUUCAUUUCCAUUUUUCAUUAAAGAGAAGGUGAUCAGUCU